rnacentral:misc_RNA from 1 species
UGAAAGUAAGAAUCCACAAAAAAAUCACCAUCAAAACCUGCAAAAUAGAGAGAGAACUGUAAGUACUAGACGUGGUGGGGAGCUGAGGUUGUUGAAUAGUGGUGGGGCUAAUGAAAUGUGUUGGUUUGGUGAAGUAGCAGAAGUAGUACAAUAGACUGGAGAUUGUAGAGGACAAUAGAAUCAAGGCAACUAGAAUUGAUAGAAUUAAUGUCCAUUUGUGUUGCCUUCAAUUGGUAUGUCUAAAGUUG